rnacentral:tRNA from 2 species
GCCGGCAUGGCGGAAUUGGUAGACGCAAGGGACUUAAAAUCCCUCGGUAGCAAUACCGUACCGGUUCGAGUCCGGUUGCCGGCA